rnacentral:rRNA from 14 species
AGUGCGAAUGCUGACAUGAGUAACGAUAAUGGGGGUGAAAAACCCCCACGCCGGAAGACCAAGGUUUCCUGUCCCAUGCUAAUCAGGGCAGGGUAAGUCGGCCCCUAAGGCGAGGCAGAAAUGCGUAGUCGAUGGGAAACGGGUUAAUAUUCCCGUACUUUUAUAUACAGUGAUGGGGUGACGGAGAAGGCUAGGCUGGCGUGGCGUUGGUUGUCCACGUGAAAGUGCGUAGGCUGGGGACUCAGGUAAAUCCGGGUUCCUAAGGCCGAGACACGAGACGAGCUCCCAAGGGAGUGAAGUUGUUGAUGCCCUGCUUCCAGGAAAAGCUUCUAAACUUAUGAUUAUAUGAACCGUACCCCAAACCGACACAGGUGGUCAGGUAGAGAAUACCAAGGCGCUUGAGAGAACUCGGGUGAAGGAACUAGGCAAAAUGGCACCGUAACUUCGGGAGAAGGUGCGCCGCUGAUGGUGAAGGGCUUGCCCCGUAAGCUGUCGGCGGUCGAAGAUACCAGGUGGCUGCGACUGUUUACUAAAAACACAGCACUCUGCAAACUCGUAAGAGGACGUAUAGGGUGUGACGCCUGCCCGGUGCUUGAAG